CACGUAGGGUGCGAGUGUUGUCCGGAAUUAUUGGGCGUAAAGAGCUCGUAGGCGGUGUGUCGCGUCGGCCGUGAAAGUCCGGGGCUCAACUCCGGAUCUGCGGUGGGUACGGGCAGACUAGAGUGAUGUAGGGGAGACUGGAAUUCCUGGUGUAGCGGUGAAAUGCGCAGAUAUCAGGAGGAACACCGAUGGCGAAGGCAGGUCUCUGAGCAUUAACUGACGCUGAGGAGCGAAAGCAUGGGGAGCGAACAGG
rnacentral:rRNA from 1 species